rnacentral:rRNA from 1 species
CCUGAUGCAGCGACGCCGCGUGAGGGAUGACGGCCUUCGGGUUGUAAACCUCUUUCAGUAGGGAAGAAGCGAAAGUGACGGUACCUGCAGAAGAAGCGCCGGCUAACUACGUGCCAGCAGCCGCGGUAAUACGUAGGGCGCAAGCGUUAUCCGGAAUUAUUGGGCGUAAAGAGCUCGUAGGCGGUUUGUCGCGUCUGCCGUGAAAGUCCGGGGCUCAACUCCGGAUCUGCGGUGGGUACGGGCAGACUAGAGUGAUGUAGGGGAGACUGGAAUUCCUGGUGUAGCGGUGAAAUGCGCAGAUAUCAGGAGGAACACCGAUGGCGAAGGCAGGUCUCUGGGCAUUAACUGACGCUGAGGAGCGAAAGCAUGGGGAGCGAACAGGAUUAGAUACCCUGGUAGUCCAUGCCGUAAACGUUGGGCACUAGGUGUGGGGGACAUUCCACGUUUUCCGCGCCGUAGCUAACGCAUUAAGUGCCCCGCCUGGGGAGUACGGCCGCAAGGCUAAAACUCAAAGGAAUUGACGGGGGCCCGCACAAGCGGCGGAGCAUGCGGAUUAAUUCGAUGCAACGCGAAGAACCUUACCAAGGCUUGACAUGAACCGGAAACACCUGGAAACAGGUGCCCCGCUUGCGGU